rnacentral:rRNA from 1 species
GAUGAACGCUGGCGGCGUGCUUAACACAUGCAAGUCGAACGGUGAAGGCGGAGCUUGCUCUGCUGGAUCAGUGGCGAACGGGUGAGUAACACGUGAGCAAUCUGCCCCUGACUCUGGGAUAAGCGCUGGAAACGGCGUCUAAUACUGGAUACGAGCUGCGAAGGCAUCUUCAGCAGCUGGAAAGAAUUUCGGUCAGGGAUGAGCUCGCGGCCUAUCAGCUUGUUGGUGAGGUAAUGGCUCACCAAGGCGUCGACGGGUAGCCGGCCUGAGAGGGUGACCGGCCACACUGGGACUGAGACACGGCCCAGACUCCUACGGGAGGCAGCAGUGGGGAAUAUUGCACAAUGGGCGAAAGCCUGAUGCAGCAACGCCGCGUGAGGGACGACGGCCUUCGGGUUGUAAACCUCUUUUAGCAGGGAAGAAGCGAAAGCGACGGCACCUGCAGAAAAAGCGCCGGCUAACUACGUG